rnacentral:rRNA from 1 species
GGCGGCGUGCCUAACACAUGCAAGUCGUACGAGAAAGUUGGCUUCGGCUGAUGAGUAAAGUGGCGCACGGGUGAGUAACGCGUGGAUAAUCUGCCUUUUAGUUGGGAAUAACGUACCGAAAGGUGCGCUAAUACCGGAUAAUACUGCAUAACUACUGUUGUGUAGUCAAAGAAGGCCUCUGUUUACAAGCUUUUGCUGAAAGAUGAGUCCGCGUACCAUUAGCUAGUUGGUAGGGUAAUGGCCUACCAAGGCUACGAUGGUUAGCUGGUCUGAGAGGAUGAUCAGCCACACUGGAACUGAGACACGGUCCAGACUCCUACGGGAGGCAGCAGUGAGGAAUAUUGCGCAAUGGGGGCAACCCUGACGCAGCAACGCCGCGUGAGUGAGGAAAGUUUUCGGACCGUAAAGCUCUGUCGAGCGGGAAGAAAUGUAUCGUGGCUAAUAUCCAUGAUAUUUGACGGUACCGCUAAAGGAAGCACCGGCUAACUCCGUG